rnacentral:misc_RNA from 1 species
GAUGAAGAACGCAGCGAAAUGCGAUAAGUAGUGUGAAUUGCAGAAUUCAGUGAAUCAUCGAAUCUUUGAACGCACAUUGCGCCCCUUGGUAUUCCAUGGGGCAUGCCUGUUCGAGCGUCAUUUGUACCCUCAAGCUUUGCUUGGUGUUGGGUGUUUGUCCCGCGUUGCGCGUGGACUCGCCUUAAAGCGAUUGGCAGCCGGCAUAUUGGCCUUGGAGCGCAGCACAUUUUGCGCUUCUAGUCAUGAAUGUUGGCGUCCAUUAAGCCUAUACAUUUGCUCUUGACCUCGGAUCAGGUAGGGAUACCCGCUGAACUUAAGCAUAUCAAAAGCGGAGGA